rnacentral:rRNA from 1 species
CCUACGGGUGGCAGCAGUGGGGAAUUUUUGGCAAUGGGCGCAAGCCUGACCCAGCAACGCCGCGUGAAGGAAGAAGGCUUUCGGGUUGUAAACUUCUUUUCUCAGGGACGAAGCAAGUGACGGUACCUGAGGAAUAAGCCACGGCUAACUACGUGCCAGCAGCCGCGGUAAUACGUAGGUGGCAAGCGUUAUCCGGAUUUACUGGGUGUAAAGGUCGUGUAGGCGGGGACGCAAGUCAGAUUUGAAAACCACGGGCUCAAACUGUGGCCUGCAUUUGACACUGGGUUUCUUGAGUACUGGAGAGGCAGACGGAAUUCGUGGUGUAGCGGUGAAAUGCGUAGAUAUUAGGAGGAACACCAGUGGCGAAGGCGGUCUGCUGGACAGCAACUGACGCUGAGGCGCGAAAGCGUGGGGAGCAAACAGGAUUAGAUACCCGAGUAGUC